rnacentral:SRP_RNA from 1 species
UGCGGGUCCCCUCGCACAGCUAUUUAUGACAACGGGUCAGGUGCGGAAGCAAGCAGCCCAUCAUAAACAACUGGUGCCGAGGUUCAGGCCCGCUUCU